UAGACUAAUGCACCUCCCAGGACCUGGUAUGUAGCUACUGAUUUUGCAAAUGCUUUUUCUCCUCCAUGUCUGCCCAUAAGAACCAUCAAAAGCAAUUUUCUUUUAGCUUGCAAGGCCAGAAGGACAUCUCUACAGUUCUGUCCAAAGGAUCUGCAUGAGGGCUUUUUUUUAUUUCUCUACCAACUCAAACCACAUAUCACAACAGACUAUUGAAGCAUUUGUGACAGUCCACAAAGAGCCUGUAUUAAGCCCAAAUUAAACAACAAUUAAAAAGAUAAGAAGAAAAAAUUUAAAAAUAUAGCAGAUUUUUGGAGGAACUCAUCUAAGAGGUCAAUCAGCCUUCUAAGGAGAUAUUUUGAAGGGGGAACUCUGGGAACUCUGGAAACAUUCUGCCAUGGCAAUGCCCUUUGAGGAAAUCAGUGCUAAAGAAAAAGAAAAUGCUUUCAGAUGAGUGUUGUAGGAUGAUAUUCUCCAAGCAUAAUAUUUGUCAUCCUCAUCAGAACAGCUGUGACUGUUUGCAAGAGACCCAUGAGAUCAGGCCUGUUGACAGAUGAUGUUCCCUCACAGAAGGAGAUGGUUACAAAGGGUCACUGGGUGCUCACCUGAGGAUCCUGCACCUCCCCAUCAUUUAGAUAAAUAUUCAUUUGGAACCACGAGAGACCCUGGAUAGCCAAAGCAAUUCUGAACAAAAAUGACAAUGCAAGAGGGAUUAUCAUUCCACAUUUCAAGAUAUAUUAUUAUGUAGAAAAGCACAGUUAAAAAAAACAAAAACAAAAACAGUGAUACUGACAAAAACGGGCACGUCAACUAAUGGAACAAAAUAGAAAACUCAAACAUGAGUACAUACAAUUAUAGCCACUUAAUAUUUGAAAAAGAAAACUGGACGUCCAAAAGCAGAAGAAUGAAAUUAGAGCUGUAUUUAUCACCUUGCACAAAAACUAACUCUAAAACUCUAAAUGGAUCAGAGACCUAAACCUGAAACCUGAAACCCUGAAAUUCCUAGAAGAAAACAUAGGUAGUGUCGUAGUCUCUGUUCUAUUGCUAUGAAAAGACACCAUGACCACAGAAACUCUUAU